ensembl:lncRNA
GUUAGAGAAAAAAGUAGCAUGCAAUGAAAGAACAAUGAGAAAGGAUGAUAUUUAGAAGACGGGGGGGGGGAGCAGCAUGCCCCCUUCUAACAAAAAGUGGUUUCUGUUUUCAGCUUUUGAGUUUUAGGAUGUGGAAGAGGUGAGGAGCUUCUGAUCUGUUUGACCUCCUUGUCACCAAUUUUCUGAUCAUGAGCUUUCUAAGUUCUAGAUCAUGUAGCCAAAAGUAUUGCCCAUGAAUCCAUAUAGAGUCUUAUAUCUUUCUUUCUGUUCAGACAUCAAGAAUAGCAGAAACAUUGCUUCAAGUUCUGCCACUAGGAGUAUUUCUCUUUACCAUCUUUUGAGACCACUCCAUAAAAGAGUCAUCAUACUGUAGCAUACUGUUGCCUUAAACAUGAAUUGAGAAGUGGGAAACAGUGUAAUCAUAGGGAUCAUGAGUAUCUGGGAUCCUUGUUCAUACAAUUCACUUGUGCCUUUAAAGACAUGUUUGAGCCUGAUCUCAAUGUAUACCACUUCUUUUAAUAAUGGAACUCUAUCCCCAGCCCUUUAUUUAUUUUUUGUUUUGAGACAGGAUCUUGCUAAAUUGCUAAGUUGCCCAGGCUGGGCUCGAACUUGCAGUCCUUUUGCCUCAGCCUCCCAGAGUGCUGGAAUUGCAGAUGUGAGCUACCACACCCAGAAAAUAGUUAUUUUAAAUGUAAAUUAUAAAAACAAAGAUUAAACAUUUAAUAAAUGUUAGAAAAUAAAGCUGAAGAUAUUUUCCUGAAAGGUGAAAAUUAAAGAUACAAAUAAUAUGAGAAAACGCAUCAAAUUUAGAGUUCCAAUUGGCUUAACAUCCAAAUAAUAACACAUUCAGAAAGAGAAAACUUGAAAAAAAUUGUUGGGGAGAAAAAUAACAAGAAAACUCAGCAAGACAGCAGGAUAUGCAUUUCCCAGAUGGUGAUAGCCAAGUUUGUGCCUAGAAUAAUAGAAGAGAGAUCUAUUCUGAAACAUAUCAUAGUGAAAUCUUAGAAAAAUGGGUACAAAAUUAAAAUUUAAAAUCUUCCAGGUAGUAAAAAUAAAAGCAAGUCACAUACAGAGGAUUAUACAUCAGCAUGGCAAAGGCAAUUUCAGCAACAAAUUAGAAGCUAGAUGGCAAGGAAAUAAACCUUUCGAAUUUCAGAAGAAUUGAUUUUCUGGCUAGGAACCUGGCCAUACUAUCAAUGUAGUGAGAGAGCAACAAAGAUAUUUUUCAGAUAUUGAAGAAACCAAAUAUUUACCUACCAUUGCACUUUUUCUCAGAAAGGUAUUAGAAUGGAGCAAACAGCAGCUUCAAGGCAAGGGAGAAAAGGAGUUCCCAGAAUCAUACUUAGAAGAGCAAAGUAUUUUACAAUGAACCUGAAAAUUGAUUACUAAACAGUUUUUUUACUGACAAGGAUCGCUGAAUUUGUUAACUGUCACUUUUAUAUAAGAUAGUAUUAGAUUUAAGGAAUGUACUGUGUUAUUUACAUCUCUUACCUUCUUGUUUCCAUUGUGCUAUCUUUGGAUCAAAUAGCUGCUUAUUUCAAAUAGUGAAAUAUUUAAGAUCCUAAAGCAGUUGGUUAUAGGGUAUUAUGGAUUCAAUUGUGUCUGCACCCUUACCUUUCAAAAAAAUGUGUUGAAGUCCUAGGCCCCAGUUCUUCAGAAUAUAACCUUAUUUGGAAGUAGGGUUAUUACACAUGAAAUUAUUUGAGUAGAAGUGAGGUCAUACUUGAUUACGAUGGGUCUUACUACAUUCUGAUAAGUGUCCUGAUAAGAAGAUAGGUACAAAGGUAUUAACAUGAGAAGAACUCUAAGAGAGAAUGGAAGCAGAAAUUGGAUUGAUGCAUCUACAAGCCAAGUAUUGCCAGCCAUCAGCAGAAACUAGGAGAGAGGCAUGGAACUUUUCUCUCUGAGAACUGCUAGAAGAAACCAACCCUGUUGACACUGAUUUUGGAUUUUUAGAACUAUGACAGAAUAAAUUUCUAUUGUUUGAAAUUGCUGUUUGUGGUCUUUUGUUACAUAAGCCAUAAGAAACUAAAAAACAGUUUUAUCAAAAUUAUACCAGUACAAGGGAGGAAGCCUUUUUCAAUUCCAGUAUU